GGGCGUUUAGCUCAGCUGGGAGAGCGCAGCGUUCGCAUCGCUGAGGCCGGGGGUUCGAAUCCCCCAACGUCCACCA
rnacentral:tRNA from 1 species